rnacentral:rRNA from 1 species
UACGGGGGGGGCAAGCGUUGUUCGGAAUUACUGGGCGUAAAGGGCUCGUAGACGGCCAACUAAGUCAUACGUGAAAUCCCUCGGCUUAACCGGGGAACUGCGUCUGAUACUGGAUGGCUUGAGUUCGGGAGAGGGAUGCGGAAUUCCAGGUGUAGCGGUGAAAUGCGUAGAUAUCUGGAGGAACACCGGUGGCGAAGGCGGCAUCCUGGACCGAUACUGACGCUGAGGAGCGAAAGCCAGGGGAGCAAACGGG